AAAUGUGUUGCAUUUUGAGACCAACAUAAUUCAUCUCUGUGUACUAAUCAAUAGUUAAAAAUUAGCUAGAAAUUAUUUAGUAUAGCAGAUAACUGGAAGUCCAGUCUACCAGGAAGCCAAUCACAAAAACAUGAUAAAAAUCAAAACCAUAGUCUUUCUAUUCCUGGCAAUUGAUCAUCCUAUACAGGAAGAUAUAGUUCAUAUACCAUUAUUAAAUAAUCUAGGCAUAUAGGUACACAAGAGCCACAAGACUGAUCCGAGUUUCAGCUUAACAUCAACCAAUUGCUUACAGUCCAGAAUAGAGUCGCAAAAUUGCAUCGAGAACAGGAUCUGACACUUGCAUUGUUGUGUUUUCCCACUAUAUAUCUGACACACACACUACAUGCACUCUGCAAAUAUGUAUCCAACCGGCUCUACUCUACGGUUACUGGAGUUUGCAGACUUCUUGGCCAUGUUAGGUAAAGAAGCUCCAUAAGUGUUAUUUCGUAGCAAGAUUGCAGCCACUCCUGCCCCCUCCUAUAUGUAGUACUUGAAAACUUCACAUGAAGGCUGUAUCAAAGUGAAUCUUGUGAAGAGAGUCAAUUCAGCUCUAGUGUUCAAUGUCACAAUGUCAGAAAGCAAGCAAUAAGAAUUCAGUUAUAUGAUCAAGCCCUCAACUGGAACCCGCGACAUGCCCCGACGCUCGGUCCCCAUCCCGCACUAUUGUGGACGCCUCCAACACCGGUGACAUCCCCGAGGUGCCCCCAAGCCAACGCGUGAACUGGAUCCAGCGACCAGGCGCGUCCAUCGGUUGGGAUCUUGGCCAGCACCAGCGGCUCCCUUCAACACCGCCGCCCUCUGGAAAUUUCUCACUCAAGAGAAAUGGAAACUUCUCACUCAAGAGAAAUUAUCUUUUGAAACUAAAUAUUAUAGACUAAAUUACUAACAGGAUCAAUGUUCUGACCAUGAGAUAGUUACAGUGCCCUCCAUAGAAAAAAAGAACUUGAAUUGGAGAUCGAUAUAAGUGAUAGCUCUUUCACCGUCAUUGAAGAAAAAUAUAACUGUUGCACCAUGCUAGGCACUCAGAUAAACCCCAAACAUAUUGUAUAUUUAUUUGGAAGAAACUUCAACAAUAUAAGAAAAUCUAGGGAUCAAAAUGGUAAACUGUUUUAGGAUCUUGCACAAGAAAUCAGUAAAACUUGCAAAGCGCAAUUGCAGAUCAUGUCCUACUAUUCUCAAAAUUCAGAGAUGUCAUAAACUGAAGCCACUUCUGUUUAGGCUAAAACGGAGUGUCGUGAUGUUUGUUUUGGGCGAAUUUCUUUUGGCAAACUUAGUGAUGCUCUAAAAAACCAUAAACCAAAGCAAAUGCAUGUUGUCUGUUCACUUUUCCUUUUAUGUAGGAUCUGCUGAACUGAUGAGUUGAAUAAUUGUAUUUGGAAUAUGAUAUCAUAUAUAGUAACUCAUUGCCUGCUACCAAUACAAGAAACCUCACAUGAAGCAUAUGACAAGGUUUAUCAAACAAGCAAGUAGGAUUAACCUCCAGUAAAUUACAUCAAGAUGGAAGCUUUCUAUUUAGUAAUCCCUCCGUCCGAAAAUAAGUGACUCAAGUUUGUACUAACUUUGUACUAAAGUUAGUACAAAGUUGAGUCACUUAUAUUGGGACGGAGGGAGUAGACAGGUAGUUGAUGGGAUGUUACCUGCAGGACCUUGGUCUUUUAUCCUCCGAGCUGAGUUGUGCCACCAUGAAGGACAGUCCUUCCAGUUCCACGCGCUUGGACGGCCAGUGCCAUCCAACAGCAGGUGGCGUAGUGGAGGCAUGGGUGAUCUGCACACGCACACACAUCUGCUAGGUCAAGCGCCAAGGUAGGUGGUGCUGACCGACAAAGAACUCGCCAGAGACGCUUAAAUCUGUAGUUCACCAAAAGAUUUCUACCUAAUAUCCUGCUCCCAAAUACAUAGAAACUGUUUUUUUUAAAUAAGAGUUAUAUUAGCACAGGCACCAAGAGGAAUGAUAUUGUAUCAUCUUCAGGGCAUACCUCAUGGAAAUCAAUUUCAUCAGACAGGAACAGACGCAUUGGACAACAUCACUUUGAUAUGGAAUAAUGAAGAACAAACAUGAGGCAGUUAACAAUUUAACAUGAACUUGUGGAAGUUUGGCAAGCAAGACUUGAAGUGUACAUGAUAAAAUGAAAACUCGGUAAAGAUUUAUCUAUGAGCAGCAAUACAUAUACUUUACACCAUUGAUGUUCACAACCAUGAGAUCAGUAAAAAUAUCAAAGUCCAUGAAUGCAAAAUAGGUCCACUUUGGUGCAUCAUCUAAGCAAUUCAUGGUGAUAGACGUCUCACAAUUGCCCAAACCACAAUAUAAUCUUGAACACCCAUGGUCCACAGUAUAGUUUUCUAAAAGAAGGUAUGCUCCAUCGUCAUUCUUCAAACGUGAGUAAUUGCUUAAGAAUUUGAAGAAAAUAGAAAGAUUGUGCUGGAUCACCAAACUGUAAGCCAACUGAUAGCGGCGCAGGUAAUCCCUAUACUCUAGCUCACAUUCACGUCACAGACCAAACCACUAAAAUCAACCCAUUAUUGCAAUAAUCAAGGGCAAAGUCAAUUGGGAUUUUUACCAGUGCAGGCUGAGUCUCUCAGUAUUGCAAAUCCUUGUAAAAAAAUGGGUCAGCCAGCCUUGCGCUCAGAAAAAUUACACAAAAUCAUGAUGUUACCAGGGUGUCAGAUCAGAAAGUAUUAGUCCAUAAGAGAUACACAUUCGAAGUGCUCAAAAAUAAGAACGGAACUCUUAAUUGCUUGAGACAAGCUGAAAAGGGUAAGCUUGUGUCUUUUUACCAAUAAAGUUUUCAUCUCCUGGAUGUGGCGUGAAAAUAUUAUUAUUUUUGUUUCAGUCACCUUAUAAAAAAACAUACAAUUUCUUAGUGCUCCUAGAGAAUCAUAGGACAUAGUCAAUGGAUUAAUUAGCCUACAGAGUACAGACUGACCUUGGGACUCUCCUUGACAAGGAGCUUGCAAGAAGACACAGUUGAAACUGGUGCACCCCGUAUCAAUAAUGUUUUUGCAGCUUGCAGUUGCUGCCAUGACAUUCAUCCUACUCCAUGAAAGAGAAAAUUGGCAACGAUGUUUAGGUUUGCCAUCCUGCAUUCAUGCUUAUCUUUCAUAGAAAGAACACGGCAAAACAAUUCCAAAUAUCUGAAUAUCUGCUAUUGUGUGCAUGAAAUUAUUAGCCAUCUAAUUGUGACCAGGGAAAUAUAUAAUCAGUACAUGGUGAGUUCAGCUUCUAGCGAUGCAAUAGAUACAUGUUCAGUAUGAUUAGAUAAUACAGAAGAUUGACCAAAGACGGAUCAAGGGCUGCGUCACGGCGGGGCAUACCUAUAUAUCCUCCCCUCUGGUUCCUUCACUAUGACAAAACAUCUGUUUUAGGAGCUAUUGAAUUCCAAGAAAUUUUGGUGGUCAUACUUUCUGUCAGAAAAAUGUUAAAGGUCAAAUACUCUUGUUAGGAUCGGAUUCACAAAUAAAUAUACAUGUUUGUGCGAGAGGUGCUUCUUCUGGAUCAUAGAAGAUGGUCCAGUCAUCUGGCCAAAGAUACCACCGUUCUGGCCAAAGAGCACAACUACAGAUAAAUGGUUACAGAUAGACGAUGGGUCAGCUGCAAUUUGCAUCAAUUAUAUAUCAUAUGACAUAUGAAGAUGACAACCCUAUGAUCUAGAACAAGGAUAGCUACCAAAAUCGAACAGAGGCGAUGUAGGGGGAUUUCUGUUACCAAAGAGAGAAAAAUACAGAGCUGAGUAGCCCUUAAUUAAUGAGUUAGCCCACAUCACCAAAAAAGGGUAAACUGUUAAAGUGAGCUCACUUGUUUACCUAGGUUGGAAUUCCAAGACCUCGGCGAGCUUGUUCUCGUAGGCGUCCUUCCAUUGCACACACCGCUAUUAACCCAUGUAGCCCUUCUGCGUCGUGCCGCCGCGUGGGUGGGGUAUGAUCCUUGCUGUAUCCAAAGAAAAAUUGUUAGUGUAUGAUCUAUGGAAUCAAGUAGUGAGCUACCUGAAGUAUCGAUCACCUG
rnacentral:lncRNA from 1 species